UCCUCGUCUUGCUCAAUCCCUCCUUCAUCUCCUCCAUCACCGCCGCCGGAAGAACCCCCGCAUCCUCUCCAUCGCCUCCUUCCUCUUUGGCCGGGUCCGCCCAGGUCGAUGAUCGGGAAGUUGAGAUUCUCGGAUCCGCCGCUCGAUUCGGAUGUCUCGUGCGGUCGAAUGAAGAAAUCCUGGGGAUUUUGGUGAUCCCGGCGUCCACGAGGCCUUUGACGCCGGCUUUCAAGUCCUCGCUCGCUCUGUCGCAGCUCUCUGCUCGCCGGAGUUGGAGGCCAAAUCGAUGGUAGGCAUUGUUCCUCUCUCUCUCUCUCUCUCUCUACUGCAAUUCAGUUUUCGCUGUGAAUGUGUAAUGAGUUUGGAUUAUGAAUUGAAUGUUAUGGAGACAUUUGGAUUAUGAUUUGAGUGUUAGGGAGACAUUACAAUGUCAAUGCAUGAUAUGAGCAUCUUCUUUAUAGCUAAUUGAUUGAGAGAAGAGAAGUGAAGAGAACACUGACAUCCAUUGCGAGUUUCCGCUUGACUUUAGAAUUAUGAGGUUCAUAAAAAAAUGGAAGGAUAGCUUAUGGGCUACCGCUUGCUGAGAAAAUGACAAUGCUGUCUAAUAAUGGCUGAUCCAUUGGACGAUCGGGCGGCUAGUACACAAAGUUUUGCAAUUUAUGAAAACAAAAUCUAUUAGGACAGAGUUGAACAAUGAUAGAUGACAGGACGGUUCGAUAUGGUCUUAGCCCUUGACUUCUCUGCAAUUACAGAAAUCUAUAUGUAGAGGCAUCUUUGGUUGUAGUCCUCUCUUUGUCAUCACUUUAAGGGAGUCUCUGGACUUCCCAGGUAAACAUAACUAUUAUCUACGAGCUAGGUCCAUAUGAUCUAGUAAGCAUAUGGAAAUCUCAAUGUUCAUCUGAGUGAAACAGACAACAACUUGGUGAAAAUCUUGGACAACCUUGAUUGAUGCUGAUACUCGCAAUAGUUUUAUAAAUCAUAAAAAGUGGACCCUUUUGAAACUAAUGUACUGAGCUCUCUGAGCAGCUAAUUUAACAAUCAUAUGCCUUUGGACAUGAGAAGCUGAACUGUGAAAAGACGUGGUUCUGAUGUUACUGAUUAGAGGAAAAACCCUUCUUGCUUUCUUUCUGGACUCCAUGUGUUGAACAGUCGUGUUAGGGUGGGGACUUGCCUUUGCAUUGUUUCAUAGGGCAGGGCCAUCCUCUCAAGCAAUACUCAAGAUGUUGUGGAAAUCCCAGUAUUCCGCAGAAAUUCUUGUUCCCGAUGGUGAUUUGGACUCUUUUGGCUAAAUGUAAAUAGGAAAAAUCUUGAUGACGCAAUCCUAACUCUAACUUGAUCAUGCAAGCCAGGCCUAAAGUUUCUGAUUUUUAUGUUACCAUGGAUAGCAAACGUAGUCGGGUUUUUUACAGAACUUGGACAGUCCGAUGGAACUCCCCGCUGGAUGGAUUGUUCAAACUGAACACAGAUGGCUGGGUUUUUGAAGGCCAAGGCAUGGCAGUGGCCGCCAUUUGCUGCUGUAAACCCAACCGAGGCCAAAGCGGUGCUAGGCGACAGUGGCUUUUGAGAGCAACAUUAGAAGUCUCAAUCUAAUCUGAUAACCAAGUGCCAAUAACUGUUGCCAUGCAAGACUCGAUAGAAAAUUCUAUGCCGACUUCUAUUAUUUUUCAAUGUAGGGGAUUGUGACAAUGGUUGACAUCAACAAUAAGGAAUGCAGACUCCUGAUGAAGUUCCUAUUGAAAUUAUGGACUUUGUAUGUAGCCAAUUCUAAAGGAGUCUGGUCUUCUCAUAAUGUAGCAGUGGAUAGGGGCCGAGAUAGUGGCUGCUCUACUGCGCUUGAAGAACCUGCACUACUCGUUCAUCACCUCCUCCAAGAGGCUCUCAGGGACCUCAUGGUUGAUCACCCAGAAGAAACCCCUUUUUUCCGAUGCUCGUGCAAUCUUUCGCAACACGUCUUGUCGUGACUGGUGGGCCUUGCAUUCACGCAUCCGAGGUCGAUGAGCGGGAUCUCUCCGCAACCCUCGCGGCAAGGCAAUUUGUCAGGUGGCUGAAUGAAUAUGCGUGAAACUUGGGCAAUCCCGGCGCCCACGAGGCUUUUAACUCCGGCUUUCGUCUCGUCGUAUACUCUCAAUUCGUUAGCUCAGUCGUUCUCGUCGUCUACCGCAGUGACCAUUGUGUUCUCUGUAAUAAGGGAUUACGUGUUAUUUAGUGAAGAUAUUGGAUAUUCAUCA